ACACAAGCAGCUCUUCAUUUUCACAUGCACUCCAGUCCCUUCCGAUCAGCAAGCACCGCAUCCUCCACGCCAGAAAAGACCAUACUCACCAGAUAAGAGUUCUCUCUUUUCUUAAGACCCUCGGUAGCAAUAAAUUUGCAGAUGACUGAACGAGAGUCCCCUUCAAUUUCAACCUCCCUUAACUGAAGGAAUAAACCGAGAUGAAUCGCCUGGAAUCCCGCCAAAGCUUCUGCAGCAAAAAGAGAAGCGUCAAAAUUGAUUUUUACCCUCGAUCCAGUCGGAGCAACCCAUCUGUUAGUAAUCUGUCUAGCUGGACACUCCCUGAACAGAUGCUCCGGUGUUUCCCCUUCAUGUUGACAUCUUCGACAAGUGGUUGAUCCCAUCAAGCGUCUAUAAUGAAGGUUACCGAAAGUAGGCAAAUAGUUACUAGCAAUCUUCCAGUUCGUAAUUUUAAUUUUUGGAGGAAGAUCAAGGGUCUACAAUCUGUUGUAAAAAUUUUUAUAAUCUAGUUGUCUUUGAGUUUGUCCAUUAUGUAAAAGACAUUUAUGUCCACUCCGGACAGUAUUCAUAUUAAGAGAUCCUCAUGCGGAUGCAUAGACAGUGAGACACAAAGAAUUCUUUCCGCAUCCAUCUCCUCAAAGGUACCCACUCGUCUCCCUAGAUAGAGACACUCUUCCCGUCCCCAAUUCUCCAGCCCAAGCCCUUUUGAAGAAGUCCUUUAGCAGUCCAAAUGCUUUGCCUGGUAAGAGAAAGUAAAUUUCCUAAUCUGAAACUAAGGAAAUCUUAAUAUUUAAAAUAUUUUGCUUUCAACGUACGCGCUAGUAAAGAGUUAGGAAGAUUAUGUAAUAAUCGCCAACUCUAUUUGGCUAGUAAAGUAAUAUUAAAAAGAUUUAAAUUACGAAA